UUAUAUAGCGCCAAGCGCCGCGAGAUCUCGGCUGUCCCACCCCAAUCGCUCUUGCGCCAAGGGCCUAUAAAACAGCCUGUGAUUGGCUCCGAGGGGCCCCGCCCCCGCCGAGCUCUGCGAGUGCCUGCGUGUGUGUGGCCCCGGAAUCUGCGCGACUGGGACGCUGCUAUAAGGGGCCUGCUCGGCCUCUAUCUCGUAUUCUCUGGCUGCAGGAUACCUGGAUGCUCAGAGCCUGAGGCCGACGACGCCAUGACCGCGGGGGAAGGGGGGCUCUGCUUUCGUUUUUCAAUAAAGCUGUUGAUCUAAUUCA